CCUACGGGAGGCAGCAGUGAGGAAUAUUGCUCAAUGGGCGGAAGUCUGAACCAGCCAUGCCGCGUGCAGGAAUACGGCUCUAUGAGUUGUAAACUGCUUUUGUACAAGGGUAAACCUGAAUACGUGUAUUCAGCUGAAAGUACUUUACGAUUAAGGAUCGGCUAACUACGUGCCAGCAGCCGCGGUAAUACGGAGGUAGCAAGCGUUAUCCGGAUUUAUUGGGUUUAAAGGGUGCGUAGGCGGGUUGAUAAGUUAGAGGUGAAAUGUCCGGGCUGAACUCGGGAACUGCCUCUAAUACUGUGUAUCUAGAGAGUAGAUGCGGUAGGCGGAAUGUAUGGUGUAGCGGUGAAAUGCGUAGAGAUCAUACAGAACACCGAUUGCGAAGGCAGCUUACUAAUCUAUAUCUGACGCUGAGGCACGAAAGCGUGGGGAGCAAACAGGAUUAGAUACCCCAGUAGUC
rnacentral:rRNA from 1 species